GAUGAACGCUGGCGGCGUGCCUAAUACAUGCAAGUCGAGCGAAAAGACGAGGAGCUUGCUCCUCUAACGUUAGCGGCGGACGGAUGAGUGACAAGUGGAUAACCAACCUAUAAGACGGGGGUAACAACGGGAAAAAGGGGAUAAUACUGGAGAAUAUAUUGAACCGCAGGGUUCAAUAGUGAAAGACGGUUUUGCUGUCACUUAUAGAUGGAUCCGCGCCGCAUUAGCUAGUUGGUAAGGUAACGGCCUACCAAGGCAACGAUGCGUAGCCGACCUGAGAGGGUGAUCGGCCACACUGGAACUGAGACACGGUCCAGACUCCUACGGGAGGCAGCAGUAGGGAAUCUUCCGCAAUGGGCGAAAGCCUGACGGAGCCACGCCGCGUGAGUGAUGAAGGUCUUCGGAUUGUAAAACUCUUUUAUUAGGGAAGAACAAAUGUGUAAGUAACUCUGCACGUCUUGACGGUACCUAAUCAGAAAGCCCCGGCUAACUACGUG
rnacentral:rRNA from 1 species